rnacentral:rRNA from 1 species
GUAGGGAAUCUUGCGCAAUGGGCGAAAGCCUGACGCAGCCAUGCCGCGUGAAUGAUGAAGGUCUUAGGAUUGUAAAAUUCUUUCACCGGGGACGAUAAUGACGGUACCCGGAGAAGAAGCUCCGGCUAACUUCGUGCCAGCAGCCGCGGUAAUACGAAGGGGGCUAGCGUUGCUCGGAAUUACUGGGCGUAAAGGGCGCGUAGGCGGAUAUUUAAGUCGGGGGUGAAAGCCCGGGGCUCAACCUUGGAAUUGCCUUUGAUACUGGCUGUCUUGAGUUUGGGAGAGGUGAGUGGAACUCCGAGUGUAGAGGUGAAAUUCGUAGAUAUUCGGAAGAACACCAGUGGCGAAGGCGACUCACUGGCCCAAUACUGACGCUGAGGCGCGAAAGCGUGGGGAGCAAACAGGAUUAGAAACCCGUGUAGUCC